AAUUCUCUCAGUUAUACUAGUGCUCGAUUCCAGUAGCUACACUGAAGGAUGUGGAAAAAAAGAGAUGAGUAUUUCUGAUUGAAUAGAAGUGUAUCAUUUCCACUAGAACAGCUUCAAAGCUUUCCCCAACUUUUACAGAACAUCCAUUGCUUAGAGCUGCCUUCUCAGAUGGGCUCAGUGCUAAACAACUCUCUGCUGCUUCACUACAUUAACUGUGUAGCAGAUGAGCCAGUCUUGCUGAGGUCUUAUUAGUGGUUGAGUCAAACAUUACAAGAAGGCAGUAGGAAGGGAGCUGGAUGGAUGGCCACCAAGACUCACUGGGUGCCACUCAGGAAACACUGCUGGAUGGAAGCCACCAAAACUCACUGGGUGCCUCUACUUUGACUAUCGCAAUCCAAGGAUUCUUCAUCUUUGUAUGUCCAGAAACUUGCUGUGAGGCCCCCAGAGUCAUCCUGUUAAUGGUAAUGAAACUCAGAGGAGACUAAUGCAUAAGCCAGAUUGUCAGCUAAUUAUUAAAUUAUUUCUGGUAAGCAAAAUAUUCAUAUCUGCCAACUAGAAUAUCCCCUUUCUGCUAUCAGCAUACC